UGGGGAAUAUUGCACAAUGGGCGCAAGCCUGAUGCAGCCAUGCCGCGUGUAUGAAGAAGGCCUUCGGGUUGUAAAGUACUUUCAGUCGGGAGGAAGGUGUCAAGGUUAAUAACCUUGGCAAUUGACGUUACCGACAGAAGAAGCACCGGCUAACUCCGUGCCAGCAGCCGCGGUAAUACGGAGGGUGCAAGCGUUAAUCGGAAUUACUGGGCGUAAAGCGCACGCAGGCGGUUGAUUGAGUCAGAUGUGAAAUCCCCGGGCUUAACCUGGGAAUUGGAUCUGAUACUGGUCAGCUAGAGUCUUGUAGAGGGGGGUAGAAUUCCAUGUGUAGCGGUGAAAUGCGUAGAGAUGUGGAGGAAUACCGGUGGCGAAGGCGGCCCCCUGGACAAAGACUGACGCUCAGGUGCGAAAGCGUGGGGAGCAAACAGG
rnacentral:rRNA from 1 species